rnacentral:lncRNA from 1 species
ACUCACUCCUCCUCCGCCUCCAGCGCCACCUCGUAUCUCCUCAUUCCCGACAUGUCCUGGGCUCCGAACGUCUCCUGGGGAGCGGCAUGAUUGAAUCAGGGAUUCCCUAGCCCCAGGUCCCCUUCUCCGUCAUUCUCAGGACGAGGCUGCCCAGUUCUCAGGUUGUUGUGGUGGUAUUACUACUACUCAGCAAGAUUCUGGUUUUACUUCUCAUCUUGGGAGUUACCAUCAAGACGUUAGGUAUGGCUGUGUGACCCACUUUGGCCAAUGAAAUGUGAACAGAAAUGGCAUAUGUCACUUGUGGACAAAAACAUUUAAGCAAGAAUUUCCCUUGCUGUCUUCCUUGACUGGAGCGACCAUGGAAGCCUGUGUUGAGAUGAAGAGGCUGCCAACAGAUCAAAACACUUGAAAACUUGAGCAGCCACAUGGACUACAACUGUGCUGGAGACUUGCCUGGACCCACAGCAGGCUUGGUAUGCAUGGGGAAUAGAAUUUUGUUGUAUUACACUCCUCAGAUUUGGAUGUCAUUUGUUAUUACAGCAUUACCUAGCCUAUUCUGAC